rnacentral:misc_RNA from 1 species
UUUCUUUUUAUCAUUCACCGAGUUCUUUUUUAGCCCACUAAAGGUGCGUCUAAACCACUCCUCUCUGCAGCAAGUGUGCCUUUUGGAGGCUUCUGGGUUUUGGUGGGUUUGUGUUAUUUGAGGACUGAGGUCUACAUUGGCCCAUCUAUGCUUCUUGAAUCUCAUUUGCGUCCAAGAAGAGAAGUCAUUUAUUUGCUCUUGUGGGUGCUCGAGGAAGAAGAUCAAGGGG